rnacentral:lncRNA from 1 species
CCCUGUGGCUGCCGAGUUCUCGGGAACAGCGGCUCGGCCUGCAAGGCUGUUGUUUCAAGAAAUGAAAAUGAAGGGCGCCCUGGAAUAGGUUCGCCGAAGAGAGAGCUUGCAGGCCUCUGGGAAGCAAGCCAUCGUGUGGCAGAGGCCCAGGUGGCAAGGAACCAAGGGCGGCUUCUGGCCAACAGCCAGCGAGGACCUGAGACCGUAGCCCAACACCCCUCCAGGAACUGAAUUUUGCCAGCAACCAGUGAGUGACCUUGGAAGUGGAUCCUUCCCCCGAAAGCCCGGCUUUCAGCUCAGAGAAUGGAAAAAUAUCUCUUCCUAAAGACACAGAGAAACAUAAACAAACCUGACCAAUAGAAGGACCAAAACCUCUGCACAGUGCCUCACCCCUCGGAGGAAUUAACAAAAAUGUGAAGGUUAUUCGUUGAACCAAUAAUCUCUGAAAUUUUUGGAGUUCCAUGAAGCUUGCACCAACUAUUAUCCCUGAGAUGACCUUGGCUGUGGAACCCAGAUUCUGUUCAGGGCCGAGAGCGCCACCUGGUGAUUCCAGUUUACGGAGGCUGGUGGGACCUCAACCCCAGCUGGUAUCCAGGCUCUUGACACCAUCUGGAGAAGGAAUUCAAGAGUGUGUCAGAAAAUGAUGAAAGUACAAAGAUUUAUUGCAAAGCGAAAAAUACACACUCAAGAAAGGGGAGUAUGGGUGGACUCAAGACAGAGUCCGAUGGGACUUGGGGUUUCUACCUUUUGGGUUUCUUUUUUUUUUUUUUUUGAUAUGGAGUCUCGCACUGUUGCCCAGGCUGGAGCGCAGUGGCGUGAUUUUGGCUCACUGCAACCUCUGCCUCCCGGGUUAAAACGAUUCUCCUGCCUCAGCGUCCCAAGUAGCUGGGAUUACAGGCUCCCACCACCAUGCCCGGCUAAUUUUUGUAUUUUUAGUAGAGACGAGGCCUCACCAUAUUGGCCAGGCUGUUCUCGAACUCCGGACCUUAGGUGAUCUGCCUGCCUCAGCCUCCCAAAGUGCUGGGAUUACAGGCGUGAGCCACCAUGCCCAAUGGGUGUGGGAUUUAGUAUAUUAAUGAGUGUAUAAUGAGGUCCUUGGUGAAACCUACAUCAAAUCCAGCACCGUGUUGGGUCCAGUCUGUCUUAGCCAGCUUGGUCCACACCCUGGUUUUUUAGGGUCUUAUUGGCCCCUUACUUCUGCAGCAAAAGUUUCCUUUUGCUAGUCAUGUGAAACUGCCACCUGGAAUUUUCUAUUCUCUAGUGACCACCCUGUAUUAUUCCUGUCUCACUGGGACCCUAAGAAAUUGGGAAUUCCAACUACACAUCCAAAAUAGUUUGACUAAAACUGUUGAAAAAAGAAAAAAAUAAUGGCAUAAAGUAUUGCUUGACUAAAUUCCAGCCAGGUGCAUUGGCCACUUUAGGUCGGGUGUGGUGGCUCAUGCUUGUAAUCCCAGCAUUUUGGGAGGCUGAGGCGGGAGGAUCACUUGAGGUCAGGAGUUCCAAACCAGUCUGGCCAAAAUGGUAAAACCCCCUCUCUACUAAAAAUACAAAAAUUAGCCGGACCUGGUGGCGGAAGCCUGUAAUCCCAGCUACUCUGGAGGCUGAGGCACGAAAAUUGCUUGAACCCAGGAGGUGGAGGUUGCAUUGAACCAAGAUCAUACCACUGCACUCUAGCCUGUGUGACAGAGAAAGAUUCCGUCUCAAGAAACAAAAA